rnacentral:rRNA from 1 species
AUUCAGAGGGUGCGAGCGUUAAUCGGAAUUACUGGGCGUAAAGCGCGCGUAGGCGGCUUAUUAUGUCAGAUGUGAAAUCCCCGGGCUCAACCUGGGAACUGCAUCUGGUACUGGUAAGCUAGAGUUUUGGAGAGGGAAGUAGAAUUUCAGGUGUAGCGGUGAAAUGAAUAGAGAUCUAAAGGAAUACCAGUGGCGAAGGCGACUUCCUGGCCAAAAACUGACGCUGAGGUGCGAAAGCGUGGGUAGCAAACGGGAUUAGAAACCCUAGUAGUCC